GGGCCCGUAGCAUAGCGGCUAAUGCGCUGAGCUUAUGUCUCAGAUAUCGAUGGUUCGAGUCCAUCCGGGCCCA
rnacentral:tRNA from 1 species